CCCGCGCCCGCGCGCGCGCUGCCCCAGCGCCCCGCCGCCGGGGGAGCCUGCGGGAGGGGCGCCCGCGGCCUCGGCGCCCCCUGGCUGCCCGGCGCCGCCCCUCCGCCCCCCUAGCGCCGGCCGGGGCGGAUUAGGAAGCCGCGGCACAGCCCCGGAGAGCGGGGCGCAGCGGCGGGGCCGAGGGUCAAGGUCACUCGGCGGGCGCGGGGAGGAUCCCAGGAGGCCCCGAGCGCCCAAGGCCGGCGCCUCCACUCGGGAGCUGAAGUCGGCGCGGCUGGUCGCUCCCGCCUGGCCCGGGUUAUCUCGCAGUGGCUUGGCCCAGGCCCAGCUCUCAUGUCGCCGCCUCCAGGAAGGAGUCCCUGAUGUCAGGCUGGUGGGCUGCCUGUCUGGGCCCAGUGGCCCACCGCCCCCUGCCUCUGCUCAGUCAGGUCUUCAGAGAGCUGGAUAAAGAAGAAAAGAGAGAGAGGAACCACGCCAGACACGCUGCUCUUCCUGCCUGGCCCCUGAGUGGUUCCGCCCCGGGCCGGGCCAGCUGUGUAACUGCGGGACGAAAAUGGGGGCUCGUUGUUCAAAAAGCAGGAAAAACGUGUCCUUAAAGGGACGAAAGUAUAGAGCUUUCCCCUUUCUUCCGCUGUCUUUCUUGUCACUUAUCAUGGUGGUUUUUUAUUUGCUAUUUGCUGUUAAAUGUCAACCUAAGUAAAGGAAAAUGAAAAUUUAAUUUUGCCUUUUUAUUCUUUACGUGCAUUUAACUCACAUAUGGAAUCGCGGAGUUUACCGUUUAGGUCGCGCCUCGUGCGUGCACGUGCAUUUCACUCUCCAGAGGGGAAACACGCACAAAACGGACUCAACAGCCCUCACGUCCCUUUCGUGUUCACACAGCCAGCUCCCUCUGCCUCCGGCUCACUCCGGGGAGCGAGGAGUCAGAAAUGGAUGGACGGUGGGAAAGGAUGUGGUCCUCAGAACAGGUUCCGGUUUGAACAGCGGGUGGGGCCUCCCCAGCUGUCAGGGCCCCUCGAGGGGAUAAGCUCACAGGACAAGCCCACCUGGACUCGCCUGGCUUCCCACGGAGCCCCGCUCACAGCGGGUCCCCAGCAUCCCGACUCUGGGGCCGCCAGCGCAGGAUGCAAGCACGAGCCCUGAGCGCCGCCCCUGUUCCGCCGGAGCAGCUCGAGCAGCUCGUGCUCCAGUGGGGGGCCUGGGGGUGGGGUGGAGCUCUGUGGCCCGGAAAGCGAGGCUGCCCGAGAGAGCGCAGCUUGUCCGUCUGCCUGUUUGCACAUCAUUGGUGCCGCCUGCAGGGCUGGCUCUUUUGGGUGACCAAAGGGAAUCUGCUGGAACCCAAGGGGCCCAGCACAGGUCUGUCUGGGGCCCCCACCCCAAGGCAUCAAACCCGUGGCUCCCAGCAUGGUCCUCCUGGGUCGUGGGCCCAUUUGCUGCUGCCCCCUCCCCCAUCUCCAUGGCUCCUCCUUCUGCCCCCAAACCAGAGACCUGUCUCCCCACAGCUGUUGUGUGACCUUGGGCGGGCACCUCCCCUCUCUGAAUCUCAGAGGGCCGCAAUGCUGUGGGCUGCCCAACUUGCUUGCCAUCAGCCAGCCCCAGAAACAGUUGUCCUUCUCUCUCACCCACCUCUUUGCCACCCUUGGAGACACUUCAGGGACUUGUCGGUGUCCACGUCAUGCAGAUUUCACUGGCCCUGGGCCUGGGGCAGCCUGACCCUCUUCCCGGGGUGGGGGUGUCGAUCCCCCAGCAUGUUGUCUCCUCCACAGUCGGAGUUUCCGCUGACACAGCCG
rnacentral:lncRNA from 1 species